AGUCAAUGAUAUUUCUUAAAGCUUUGACUUGGUAAAUUUAUGUAUCUUCAAUUACAAGAAUGACUCGAAUUAAAAAAUGAAGCUGCUCUAGCAGCCCUUUUUAAUUCUAAGCAAUUCAAAACAAUUCCUGGUGGCCUUUUCAUUGCACUAUUGCUCCUUCUCCUUGUGAUGCACAAGUCCCAGAUCCUUUGCUUGUUUUCAGGCUGCCUUUAUUUCCCUGGUAAGGAAAGUUGUUGUGUUCUCCACGCGCACACCAGGGAAAGGUGCUCUGUGCCCUAAACCAGCCCACUCCUGCAUGUCCCACCUUGGCCCCAAGUAUUCAGAAAUAUUCAAAGACAGACCUGCGAGAGCCAGGUCAGGGUGCUGGGCAUGAGAACCCUGCCACCGGUCCCUGGGUGACACAAGUCGAAGGAGAAGCCAGCCAUGCUCUCCCCCUCGAUCCCUGAGCUCCCGUGAGGCGGAGGGAAGCACCCAGCUCCGUCGCGGGAAGGGCGACGCGCUGCCCGGCGGUGCCGGCACGACCCCCUCACUGAGCAGGUGCCCGAAGGACCGGGGAAGCGCUGCUCCCCCGGGCCUGCCCCGGAGGUCGUAAUCCAGCAGUCCCGCACGCGGGCCGGGCCGUGGGUGCACACACGCCGCCCUGGGCUUUGCCGCGGGAGCUCGGCUGUGGAAACCGGAGUCCUCUGUGCCGGGAAAGCGGGGUCCGUGCAUGCCCGAGCUGCCGUGGCCUCGCGCUCUGGCUGGGUGCGCUGGCCCUGCCGGGCAGCCCGAGGUCUCUGCUGCCUGCCCCGCGCAUGGAGAUUGUUGUAUGUGUACGUGCUUAGGAACCACGUAGAGAUAUGAUGCGGUUGCACUACUGGAAGAAAGACAUGUAAGUACUGAAAUCAAAGUAGCCAUAAUCCCACCUCCAACUGUAAGCUGUUCUUAAAGAGGUAAUUGGGUUGUUACAUUGUGAUGAAAUAUGCUUUCUACUUUUUAAUGUGUUUAUUAAGUUGACAGUAUAUGAUUCAUUAUGUUCUUAAUUAUUAAUUUUCUUGCUCAUGAACGCCUGGCUUUUUGCAGAUGAUGAGUGAGUACAGUGCUGUCACUUAGGAACCUUAACUGCAGUGGAAGGUUUGGCUUUUUAAUACAAUUUAUAUUUAUGAGAAAUUUGAACUAAUAUAAGAUCAUCAAAAUAAUUUAGGUCAGAUAAGAACUGGUGUGAGCAAAAACUGAACAGCUGUAGGGUUUAAGUCCUAAUUUUGCAAAACACCUAAGUUCUAACUUGGUUUCAGGGGCAGGGCAGGCCGUGGUUCCUGCAUUAAGUCCCUAAGUCACAUUGAAGAAUGUUAUUGCAUGUCACUCAAGGCAAUCUAAUGCGCUGUGUUCUGUAAAACUGGGCUUGAUCUAGGGCAGAAUUGAGUGCAAGCUAGAUUGAAGCACAAGCUGUGGUAUUCAUUCCUAUUAAGCUUUACCAGCUGAGUGGCUGCAGAAGACAACUGUGUUAAGUGUGGUGAGAAGGCUGUAUUAAACUGGGUUUGAGCUGGAGUUCAUAGUUUCUGGGUUUUUUCUACCACUGUGGGUGAAAAUAAAGUUUGAGUAGCACGUCUAGUUGUAACAGUCACAAACUAUCCUGAAUAUCAGCAAGUGUCAUCCAGACAAGGAAAAUAACCAAUAUUAUAUUUUGUCAUUAACUUUAAAGCACAGGGCACAGUCAAAACUUUAAUACAUUUGACAAGUUUUGAAUCUUUUUGUAAGAGUAUGGAAGUUAUUCAUCCAGUAUCAGUGCUCCUUACUCAGUGCUGUAUCUGACUGAAGUUUCAUAAUGAAGUCACUCAAAAUUAGGUAGCUGUUGCAAAUGGAGAAAAUCAGUCACUUUGCAUUAAAUAUUCUUUAAUACAUAGAAAAUUCAUUUUGGUAUUACUGCAUGCACUAUAUGAGGAUAGUAAUGCUUUUAUGCUUUACUUCCAGUUCAAGAGAAAAACAAACAAAGAACAACAUUUGAACCCCCAUUUCAAAAAAUUCUCUGGCAAGGAGAAACACUGAUCAAAGAAUUUUUUCCAAGUAUAAAUCAAGGUAUUGUCAGAAUUCACUUUUCUCAAAUGUCAAGGUCAGCUGGAGACUUGUAAAUUAGUUCAUGCCAAGAGAAACUAAUGAACCAGUUAAAAGACUGAUACACAGGUGUAGCUCUGUGAACAUGUUGGUUAAUCAUCUGAGAGUCCACUAAAUAUGCUUUUGAUUACUUUUCUGAAUUUAUUUCUGUGUUUAGUUUGAACAAAUCUUACUCCCAAAUUCAUUUUGCAGUGUGAAUCACACAUCUCCACUGGGUCUUCCUGGAACGUUUUUUAGAUUUAUAUUAAACAAUUGACAGAGUAAAGGCUCUGUAACCAGCAUACAUAAUCAUCACAGAAGUUAGUAUACAGAUAUUUUAGACGCUGCCACAACUAUUAAAACUUCCCUCCUACACAUCAGAGGUGGGAAGAAUAAAGAUUUGGUCACCUGCAGCCAUUCAAAUUUCAUUAUCUCAGAGCUUUGUAGAUCUCCAAAGUCACUAUUCAAGCCACACGCAAGCAGUGGGGUAAGAGAGCAGGGUCCUGUUCAGACCCUGCCACUGGGGAAUCUGAGGUCUCCUUCCUCAGCUCGCUCAGUCUUCCAUAUUUGUUUUUAGUUCUGUGUAAUCACCUUGAAGCCUUUUCACGGGCUGUCUGAACCUCAUUGACUCUCACUGGAGAUUUGCAGAGACUGUAUAAUGUUUGCCUGAGGUUUUCCCAAUGAAAACUUUCACAACUGGGCUGUUUCCUGUCUUGCUUUACUGCACUUCAUUCUUCUCCAUUUUCAUCAGUGCAGGUUUUUCUGAAUUGCAGGUGCUGGUUCCAACUCCCACCUCCAAACUCCCUUUGCCAGUUCUUAAUAAUGCAGAUUUCUUACUGCUUUUCCAAAGCCAGAUUUAUGCCUUUAUUCUUAUGAAGGGGAAUUGAGGUUUUAAGUCAAUAGCUUGACUACAUCUAGGGGAAACUGAUGUUAGAGGCAAGCAGCUUAAUACUGUUUUUCAGCGCCUUCAUUUCUGUUGGGAACUCGAAUACAUUCCUCUUCAAAAUGACUCUGCCCCAGACAUGCAUUAUCUAGGCACAACUUCCCUGAAGCAGUAAAGGAUGCAGUUGAUAAAUUUGCUGUGAAAUGUGGAAGCCCCUGGUUCAAUCAGGAGGUGAUGACCCAGGAUGAGGAUAACAGAAGGACUGAGAACAGCAAAGAGCUCCAGAAAUUAGAAGCAGAUAUUUCUUUUGGAACAUAAGGUUUACAGCUCUUCAGACAACUCCAGAAUCCAGAUCAAUGUGUUGUUCCUGUUACUCAGAGGAAUAUUUCUUCCUUUUCUGAUAUCCUGGUUCAAAGCUUUCAUGAAAUGAAGUCUCUGAUACUGGACCCAGUACUCCUGCUGUGGCCAUACCAGUGCUGAGCAGACUUUGUUGUCUACUGAGAUCUAGUAAGGGUUGCUCAGUGUGCGGAGAGGUAGCAGCUCUGGUGAAUGCUGUAUCGUUUCCUUUGGGUUGAGCUACCAGAAUGCAUAACAGCCUGGACUAGCGAGCAAGCAUUCAAGCAGCAUUUGAACCUCCAACUACAGCUGUGCGAACCUGCCACCAAAUGGCACACUGAAAGGGCCCCGCGGCGCGGCAGUCCCCCUGCGGCACUGGGGGUUCGGCCCCACAGAAGCGAGGUCCAGUCCUUACCACGCGGGGACUCCCAGCGCUACCCCGUGGUUUUCACCUGUUCACCCUUUCUGUCCACGCCAAAAUGCUCUGGCCUGAGCUGAGCAGUCUCAGCCUGGGGGUCGCCUGCCAGGUGGAGGGGGUGUGGGAGGCUCCCGCUCAGGCUGAGACAGGCCCGUGUUGCUGCAAGGGUGCAAGCAAAGUCACUCGAGUGCUGACAGUCCUCUGAUGCCUUCACACAGUUCGUUCCUCCUAAGGGCAAAUAAUUUUCUCUCGGCACAGGGCGGUGGGGCAGUGUGCCCAGCCCCACAAGGAGAGGACCCGGGAUGCUGCGGUGGGACGUGCGCUUGGUGAGGGGCCGUGCUCCCCCAGCGGGGGCUAACCCAGCACUCAAACCCAGGUUCCCACCCUUGGCACAUGGGUAAGCUAUUUCUGCGGGCAAUGCCAGGCCCGGUCUGACCAUCGCAGGUUGGUCUUUGUUCACUCCAAGAGGAGGAGUGAACUGUGCCGCCUUUUCUAUUUUGGCGUAAUGCAGCUCCCCUCAGCCGUGCCCGUGCAGGCGGGGGCCGCGCUCUGCCCGCGGCUCGGGCGGGAGCGGGAGCAGCCCCGGCGGGCGGCAGCUGUACCCUGCCACCCUACUGCUCCCAGCUGCCCGGGCACGGUGGCGGCUUCAGCCUGUUUUAUGCAAGACUGAUGGUAACAAUAACCUUGAGCCAAAUUCCUUGAAGAGCGUGUUUUCAGGCCCCAAGAGCAUCACUCCAGCAUGCCCUGAAAAAGCAGCCUGUUGGUAGUAAAGCCGCUCUCAGCGCCGCCUCUCCUCUCUGAGCGACACAGUGGUGUUCCCGAGCCGGCGCCGAGAUGAGCCGGGAAGCAGUGCCAAGAGCAGAGCAGCCGUCUUGGCGAGCGCGCGAAGCCGUUCAGCCUGGCGGAAGAGCUGCAGCGAUGAACGAGCGGCUUCUCGCCGGUGCCGAGAGCGGCGUGCGGGCGGCAGCGGGAGCGCUGCAGGAGCAGGAGGGAGGACAGCACUUCCGCAGCGUGUCUCCAGGCGUGUUUAAAAGCAAGCUGGCGUGGGGCGCGGGGAGGUGAGGAGCAAGGUGAGGUUAAGCUGGGCAGUGGGCCGGCGUCAGGCUGUGCUCCCUCCGGGUGCUCAGUGUGUCCGGCAGUGCUGUGACUCGCAGCGCUCCAGUAUUCCCGUUGGGGCGUUUUGAGGACUGAGCGAGGUGUCAAAGCUCAUGUUGGCUCUUAAAAAGAGCAGAGAAAAGGGAGCUCGUGUGGCGCAGCCCUGCCGGCCGGCGGGCGAGGGAGCGGGCGGUGCAAAGGGGUUGCAGCCGCCUGGCUUGGGCUGGCUUCGGCCAUUUGGGACCGCGUUUCUUCGGAGCCAGAGGGCAAGCGGCUGAACCGAACACAACUGCGGCGCCUUUGCGCUUGCGUGGGCAGAGUCCUUAUUCGCAGCUUCGCACCAGCAUCACCCACGCCUGCUUGUCGUGCUGGGAUCAGAGAGACGAGGUGGGCGAGGGUUCAGGGCUUAAACCAGGCUUUCCUUGGAGAUCCAGAGUCUCUUAUUUAGACAAGGAACUUGGAACCAGAACCCCCAAAUAAAUAGGUUUUAUCCCUUCAUAUUGUUGCAGCUCCGACUUUUCCUCCAAAACAAACAUUCUCUCUUACAAAUAAGCACUGACAUUUCUGGCAGUAAACUUCCAGCAGAGGUCUGAAAUAGCUGCAUCUUUCCAGAAAGCCACAGUAUUUGAAUAAUUCUUGCUUUUGACAGGCAUUUGGGAAACAGAAAGUUGUCUGUGAGUAGAGUAUCCCUGUUUCUGCAGUGAAUAAAGCAGUUCUUUGAAUUCUUAUGAGAUUUUUAUUCUCUGUGCUUUUUAUUGCUGGAUUUAUGCUCCAGUUCAUAUUCCUACUGUAAAUGAUAUUUUUGUGUUUAAUGAAUUGGCAGAUUGUAUUUGUGUGGAGUGAAGCAAUGACAUUGCAAAGUUGUGGAGCACAAGUAGGAAAUGAAUUUCUAAGCCCCAGGGAAGUUGGCAAAGUUUGAGUUUAUUUCCUGGAGGAGGGAUAAAUGUUAAAAAUCAUGAUUGCUUUGCAAAUCAAAACAUCCAGAAAGGUUUCAGUUGAAAAGCGGAUCAGCUUUUUGAUUGUCACAUCAGUCGAAACCAUCCACUUUCACCUGACUGAAGCGAAAUGGUUCGAUAACAGUUUUGCAAAGAUGUUGCGGCAGGGAUAGACCCAGCAAAGCCACUUUGCUGUGGCAAGCUGGGAUGUCCCUGGCGCGGGUUUCCGGCUGCGAGGCCGUCAGUCCCCUCCUGCAAAGCCCGGCUGCACAGCCACGUGGAUCUCCUUGAUCUGCGCCCUCCCAAACCCCGGCAGUAAUCCUGUUUUUUUCUGUUUGGGGAAUUCUGUAACGCCUUCAAACGCCUCUCUAUGAUCAUCUGUUGUGAAGCACGCUGAUAUUCUUUUUGCUUUAUACACUUAAAAUAUCCUUUAGGUCUGCUUGCACAUUUCCUGUGAGUCAGGUUGGUAGCCGAACGCUUCUCUUCCCUCUUUGCGGCGCUGUCACCAAAAAGAAUUAAAUUUUGCCCAUCUAACAGCUGUGGCUUUUUCAGUCUCAAGUGCUUGACCUGAACUUCAUCCGAGCUCGGGACUUUUCUUCCAGCAUCUGGAAAAAUCUCUCUGCCCUGCAGAUAACUUUCAUAAAUGCAAAAACCAGUCAUAGAAGCAGAAGGGCGUGAUGCCUGGCAAGACCCGCGCCAGGUGAGGCAGCCCUGGGCGCAGCGGGAGAGACCCGAGCAGGAGAGGCUGAACAGCACUGAACUAUCGCUGUCGACCUCCCGGCAGAGGCGUGAGGCGCUGGGAUGUAGCGCGCUGUUAAACUGCGCUACGCGGUACCCAUUUCUAGUUGCCUUUGCUAAUGCCGUCACUGUUAGGAGGCUCCUCGCAGUGGGGCCCUCCGCAGCCUGGAGGAAGGAGCUGCAGAGCCCGUGUGGGGCCGGCCGGCGAGGCCACCUUACGCAGAUGUGCCGCCCAAAUCCCCCGUGCUCCCUUGGGUGGGACAGGCGACCUGCCUGCGCUCGCGCCCUGGCCCGGGGGAAGGAGGUCCUGCAGCGCCUGGGCUGCGCAGGGGCCGCGGGGCCAGGAGGAGGAGGAGGAGGCUGCGGACCGCGUUUGGCAGGGGCAGGGAAGGCAGCGGAGACGUGCCCUCCAUCCUGAGCGGGCCGGGACGCUGCCUGCUUACGUUUUUGUGGUUUUGUAGCCUCACACAGAAAAAAAGGCUGCAGUUAUUGUGGGAAGUGUGCCAUAUGUUGUUGCAUAUGGCUGAAACAUCUGUAUAUGUAUAUAUGUACCCAGGGAUCUGCUAUAUGUGGUGAGCUUCUGUUAUAAAUCUAACAGCGGAGGAAUUAUCUUUUGGUUUAUUUUAUUUUAUUUAUUU